AUACUUACCUGGACGGGGUCAAUGGACGAUCAUCAAGGUUUAUGACCUAGGUAAGCGACUUCCAUUGCACUUGGAGGGGCGUUUGUCUAGGUCUCCCACUGUGGGAGAGCCUACGUCAUAAUUUGUAGUAGUGGGGGCCUGCGUUCGCGCGGCCUCCUU